CCUGUGGGGGUGGAAGAGACAGACUCAGGCCAGAGUCAGGCUGUCUGCUCCCAGGAGAACAAGACGGUGCUUCCCCCUCACCUUUGACACCUGCUGUCACUCUGAGAGGCAUCUUACUCCCCCACUGGAGAGCUGAAACUCCACCCACAAACCCCAGGGCCAGCUUAACACUGGGACAGUAUGGUUGCCCAAUGACUGCAGAGUGAAACCGCAGCUCCCACCCACUUUCAGAAGGUGGAAAAGCCAGGGGACCCCAUGCCAGUCUGAGAGCUGAGCUCCCAUCCUAGGGGUCUCGGAGAAAACCAACCCUCUGCGCAGAACUUUUAUAAGAAGUACUUAGAAAAGAAAAGAAAAAAGAGAAACAGAGAGAGACUUGUAAGUGGGGACAAUUAGAAGAACUUGACAAAGUAAGCAGGGUCAGGAGACCUGAGAGACAGUGCAGGAACAGGGUCACAGAGGGACUUAGGACUCCUGAGAAAACUCGGCUGGAGUUGGGACUUCAGAGGCCUCAGUGGCCCGGGUGGUCUACUGCUCAUCACCCAUCAACCCCAAAAUGGGGUAAGGCAAGAACUGGGGCCCUGGACCAGCCUCAAUCUAACUCGGGGACAAGAAGAGUGACAACCAAACAACUUUAGAUGAAGUUUUGGAGGCGUCUAGGGAGAAGAAAACACAGAAACGACGGCAGCGGACACAGCGAGUUGCCUUCGAGCUCCGGCUCACCCUUACAGGCUGGCCACGCUCCGAGCAGUCUCCAACUGCCUCUCCAGCUCUACGUCUAAGAUGGGGAUCCUUUAAGCGACACGCCGGCACCUUGAGUUUAGCAUUCAGCCCUUCGAUGGGCGGAGUUAGGACCUGCCCUGAGACGCUGCCCCAUUCUCUUUCCUGGAAGUGUCCUUCUCCGGGUCCACAAUCCUGGAAAUCACCUGAUCCUCACCACGCGCAUUCCCCCAACCAAGGUUGUCUGGGUACCCAGCUAUCUUAGGUGUUGUCCUGCAGUCCCAGGGAACUACUACUCCCGCCACCACCUGCAUUUCAAGCACUGCCUGCCUCACUCCGUCCACCUCCUAAGGGAUUGCACCCAGCUGUUUCUUGACAGCUGAGCGGGGCUGGGACGUGGCCAUUGGCCCUUCCCCGACCUGGAACCAGUCCCCGCUGGCUCACUUGGGAGAGGGGAGGAGACUUCUAAGGACAACCAGGGAAUGAUGUGCUCCGAAGUCUAGUUCUGCCUGUGUGACACAGAUGAGACAGUUUUCUUUUCCAUUCCAUCAAAUGGGUAACCGGCAAUCGAGGGCUGGGGAUUGGUAAUGCAGCUCAAGGGUAUAACGCUUGCCUAACCCAUGCAAUCCGAUCCAGCACUACAAAAGCAAAACAAGCAAACUCCCCAACAUAGUAGUGACAGCAGCAACAACAAAUCAACUCUUGGCACCACAGACUUAGUGGUAGGCAAACCUGAGCUGAUACAGGUUGAAAGCCUGGCACAACAAGUACUCAAAUACGGGAAGCGUUUAUCAGUGCUGGCAGACACAGGUCGAAAAUCUAGAAAUCUGGUUUCUAGAUCAGCACCAUCCAGAGGACCGUCAGCUGCUCAGAACUAGGUAGAUUUCAAGUCUGCGACAGCACAGGUGGCUGGAGAACAUUUCCCCCCUCUCACAAAGUUCCACUGGACAGGACUGCUCAAGGUAGAACAUUCAAGAAUAAGCAAUCUCAUUUUUUUAAAAAAGGAAUCUGGCCAACAUGUUGGUGCUUCCUUGUCAGCCCCGCACUUGGGAGACUGACGCAGGAGGUCUCCACAAGUUUGAGGCCAAACUGGGCUACAUAGCAGGUUCAAGACCAGCCUGAACUUCAUAGUGAAACUCUGUCUCAAACAGACAAACAACCAGGAACCAGGAGUCUUUCUGGCUGGGUAACCUUGGGCAAGUUAAUUAAAUUCUGUGCCUCAGUUUUCCUUCUGUAAAAUGGGGACAAUCGUUUCACCCACCUCAUUAGGACCAUGAUGAGUCUGUCAUUAUAAAGCAACAAUGCUGGAUCCUAGUAAAAGCUCAAUAGCGUUUGCAGGGAGACACUGGAUUUUGGAAAAGGGGCCCUGGCCCAGCCCCUGAAUGAAGCAGAAAUGAUUUCUAAGUACCGGGAUGGUGAUGAGGCGGGUUGUCAAUAUACUUUGUAAAGUGACCAGAAAUGCUUCCAGAAAUGUAGAGUGUCCACCCGCUGUCCCCAACCCUCCCCCCAGCCCUCUGAGCUCCGCGCCACCUGUCUGUCCCCUUCUCGUCUUACCAUCCCCGUAUGCAGGCCCAGGGUCCUCAGCCCAAGUGGGUGGGAAGGGAACGGUGAGAGGUAAGCGUGGUCGUCGGGAGGUCAGGAAGCCGCCUGCUGGUCCACCAGGCUCACGCCCCAGAGGGCUGGGGGGCAACUCAGCCGCCGAAGUGGCCAGCAGCUCCUGUAAGAUGUUGAUGGGCGAGACGGUGAGUUCCCAGUUGGUGAUGCCAAAGUCUCGCAGGUGGGCCCGGGCGUGGCUAGAAAGGCCAGCCCUUGUGUCAAAUCCUGCCCCGCAGAAGUCACAUCGCAUCAGACUGAAGGUGCCCGGGUCAAAGUUGGCCACUGCAAAGAGAGGACAGGGAUCGUGUGGGCUGGGGCAGAGGCGGGGUCACUUUGCAGCCCCAGCGUCUCAGCCUCUGCAAAUCCCCCUGGACGGCCUGCCUUCCCCUCUGCUCCUGCCUGCCUCACCGCCAGGCACCCACCUCCCCAGGCCAGACAGCCUGAGCUCCCGGGUCCUUCUGAGCUGUGGAAUCGGGAAUCAGCCGGGUGCGUGCCCGGUGGAUAACUUCCUCCUGUCUAUUUUUGCCCACUCUUGCCUCAGUGUUGUGAAUUAAACACGAGUUGCAUGAAGAAACAGGCGGAGGACAUGACUGUCCCCCAGAGAGAGCCUUCUCUGAACAGCCAGGGUCUCACUGUGCAGUCCAGGUUGGCCUUGAGCUCACUUUGUGGCCCAGGCUGGUCUGGAACUUACAACGAUCCUCCUGCCUCAGCCUCCCGAGUACUGGGAUGACAGGCGUGAGCCAGCACACCCGGCUCGGCUCUAUGGUCUCUCCUGGGAACCGACCCUUAGAAUCUGGAACCUUGUGACCCUGGAACCUGCAUACCCUUCACAGGCACCCCAAGUUCUGAAGUCCACCAAUCAUCUCAUUGCUCCUGGCCUGGGCCGUGAAUUUGAGAAAGACGGAUGGCUGUUCACUCACUGCUGGGUCCCAUAGUGCAGACAACAGAACAGACCUCGCUCAUGGAAUUAAACGGGACUCUCUGCC